GCUUUGUGACAUAUCUCUAUGCCUAUCACCUAGGUGACGUGACUUCUUGCUUGGCCCUGUCCACAUGGAGCAUUGUGACAUAUGUGUGGAACCUGCACUUAAGGCCCAACACCUGGAUGAUGUUACUCUUCUGCGUAGGUCAUGCAUAAAGAGGGAAUUAGGGCACAUUGCUUGCCCCAGUCCCCUAAUGAUAUGACUCUCCUGCUCGUGCCAGAGCCACAGAAGGCCCUGACCACGGGGAGAUUGUGACAUAUUUCUGGAUCCAGCACCCUUGUGAGGUCACUCUCCAGCCUUGGUAAUGCACAUAAGAAGCAUUGUGACAAAUAGCUAGGC